CCCUUAGACGUUCUGGGCCACACGCGCGCUACACUGACCAGUGCAACAAGCAUCCGUCCUUGGCCGACAGGCUCGGGCAAUCUUUGAACGCUGGUCGUGAUGGGGAUAGACUUUUGCAAUUUUUGGUCUUCAACGAGGAAUUCCUAGUAAACGCAAGUCAUCAACUUGCAUUGAUUACGUCCCUGCCCUUUGUACACACCGCCCGUCGCACCUACCGAUUGAAUGGUCCGGUGAAGCCUCCGGAUUGGCGCGCACCUCGGUGCCGCCGAGAAGUUGGCUAAACCUUACCAUUUAGAGGAAGGUGAAGUCGUAACA
rnacentral:rRNA from 1 species